rnacentral:tRNA from 1 species
GCCUUCGUGGUGUAGUGGUCAGCACGCUCGACGUGUAACCGAGAGGUCCAUGGUUCGAUUCCUGCAGAAGACG